rnacentral:tRNA from 1 species
GCCGAAGUGGUGGAACUGGCAGACGCGCCGGACUCAAAAUCCGGUGGCCGCGAGGCCGUGCGGGUUCGACCCCCGCCUUCGGCA